NNGAAGAUUAGCACUGCCCGUGCACAAAGAUGACACACAAAGUUGUGAAGCAUUCCAUAUUUUU
rnacentral:snRNA from 1 species